AUUGAACGCUGGCGGCGGGCCUAACACAUGCAAGUCGAACGGUAACAGGAAGAAGCUUGCUUCUUUGCUGACGAGUGGCGUACGGGUGAGUAAUGUCAGGUAAACUUCCUGAUGGGGGGGGUUAACGACUGUAAACGGUAGCUAAUACCGCAUAACGUCGCAAGACCAAGGAGUGGGACCUUCUGGCCGCUUGCCAUCGGAUGUGCCCAGUUGGGAUUAGCUGGUAGGUGGGGUAACGGCUCACCUAGGGGACGGUCGCUAGCUGGGCUGAGUGGGUGACGCCCGACACUGGAAGUGAGACACGGUACAGACUCCUACGGGAGGCCGAAGUGGGGAAUAUUGCAAAAAGGGCGGAAGCCUGAUGAAGCCAUGCCGGGUGUAUGCAGAAGGCCUGCGGGUUGUAAAGUACUUUUCGAGGGGAGGAAGGGAGUAAAGUAAAUACCUGUACUCAUUGACGUUACCCGCAGAAGAAGCACCGGCUAACUCCGUG
rnacentral:rRNA from 1 species